AGCAGCAGCCGCGGUAAUACGUGGGGUGCGAGCGUUAAUCGGAAUUACUGGGCGUAAAGCGUGCGCAGGCGGUUAUAUAAGACAGAUGUGAAAUCCCCGGGCUCAACCUGGGACCUGCAUUUGUGACUGUAUAGCUAGAGUACGGUAGAGGGGGAUGGAAUUCCACGUGUAGCAGUGAAAUGCGUAGAUAUGCGGAGGAACACCGAUGGCGAAGGCAAUCCCCUGGACCUGUACUGACGCUCAUGCACGAAAGCGUGGGGAGCAAACAGGAUUAGAUACCCGCGUAGUCCCUGUCUCUUAUAC
rnacentral:rRNA from 1 species